rnacentral:rRNA from 1 species
GACGAACGCUGGCGGCGUGCCUAAUACAUGCAAGUCGAACGAGUGGCGGACGGGUGAGUAAUGUCUGGGAAACUUCCCGAUGGAGGGGGAUAACUACUGGAAACGGUAGCUAAUACCGCAUACCAUCGGAUGUGCCCAGAUUGGAUUAGCUAGUAGGUGGGGUAACGGCUCACCUAGGCGACGAUCCCUAGCUGGUCUGAGAGGAUGACCAGCCACACUGGAACUGAGACACGGUCCAGACUCCUACGGGAGGCAGCAGUGGGGAAUAUUGCACAAUGGGCGAAAGCCUGAUGCAGCCAUGCCGCGUGUAUGAAGAAGGCCUUCGGGUUGUAAAGUACUUUAAGCGAGGAGGCGUUACUCGCAGAAGAAGCACCGGCUAACUCCGUGCCAGCAGCCGCGGUAAUAC